AAAGUGAUGUAAAAAGAAAUUCUCUAUACCCACAAUUAACUGAAAAUAGAGAAUGUGAAAUGCAGUCAUCUCAAAUGGUAGAAGAAAGUACGUGCCACCAAAAUCAAGGAAGAUAUUUCUGCUACGAUUCACCACUCUUUGGUGAAACUGGAGCUUGGAUUCCUGUAUCAGUUCCUCCAAUGUCAGAGAGUGAGCAUGAAGAGUGGAAUAGAGGCUUCUGCUCGAAAGGGGGAUACCUUCCUGAUGGCAACACAGAUUGGAAUCAGUGCAUGGGGGAAGACAAGGAGUUGACCAUGUGGGAUGUGGUGGUCGAUAUGUUGCUUGCAGCCCGAGGGAAAGUGCAAUCUCUUGCAUCUGGUGAUAUUGAGGGGGAUACCUUCCUGAUGGUGACACAGAUUGGAAUCAGUGUAUGGGGGAAGACAAGGAGUUGACCAUGUGGGAUGUGGUGGUCGAUAUGUUGCUUGCAGCCCGAGGGAAAGUACAAUCUCUUGCAUCUGGUGAUAUUGGUAACAUGGCGUG
rnacentral:lncRNA from 1 species